CCUGGCAUUCUGUCCAGAAUGUUUGAUUCUGUCUUUCAUUUGUUUCAACUCUGAACUGUUAACAUUUAGAAAUAAACCAAUUCUUAUCAGCGCCUAGUCGCCUACUGUGAAUGGGUGCAUUACUGCCGAGCUACAACUUCAAACUCCAACAUAUCUGUAUGGAAAUAGUAUAGGGAGGUGUAUAGUCCACUGAAGAUAUUAAUAUAUGUAUAGAAUUGUUAUAGGGAGGUGUAUAGUCCACUGAAGAUAUUAAUAUCUGUAUAGAAUUGGUAUAGGGAGGUGUAUAGUCCACUGAAGAUAUUAAUAUCUGUAUAGAAUAUGUAUAGGGAGGUGUAUAGUCCACUGAAGAUAUUAAUAUCUGUAUAGAAUUGUUAUAGGGAGGUGUAUAGUCCACUGAAGAUAUUCAUAUAUGUAUAGAAUUGUUAUAGGGAGGUGUAUAGUCCACUGAAGAUAUUAAUAUCUGUAUAGAAUUAGUAUAGGGAGGUGUAUAGUCCACAGAAGAUAUUAAUAUCUGUAUAGAACUGGUAUAGGGAGGUGUAUAGUCCACUGAAGAUAUUAAUAUCUGUAUAGAAUUGGUAUAGGGAGGUGUAUAGUCCACUGAAGAUAUUAAUAUCUGUAUAGAAUUGGUAUAGGGAGGUGUAUAGUCCACUGAAGAUAUUAAUAUAUGUAUAGAAUUAGUAUAGGGAGGUGUAUAGUCCACUGAAGAUAUUAAUAUCUGUAUAGAAUUGGUAUAGGGAGGUGUAUAGUCCACUGAAGAUAUUAAUAUCUGUAUAGAAUUGGUAUAGGGAGGUGUAUAGUCCACUGAAGAUAUUAAUAUAUGUAUAGAAUUGGUAUAGGGAGGUGUAUAGUCCACUGAAGAUAUUAAUAUCUGUAUAGAAUUGGUAUAGGGAGGUGUAUAGUCCACUGAAGAUAUUAAUAUAUGUAUAGAAUUGGUAUAGGGAGGUGUAUAGUCCACUGAAGAUAUUAAUAUCUGUAUAGAAUUAGUAUAGGGAGGUGUAUAGUCCACAGAAGAUAUUAAUAUCUGUAUAGAACUGGUAUAGGGAGGUGUAUAGUCCACUGAAGAUAUUAAUAUCUGUAUAGAAUUGGUAUAGGGAGGUGUAUAGUCCACUGAAGAUAUUAAUAUAUGUAUAGAAUUGGUAUAGGGAGGUGUAUAGUCCACAGAAGAUAUUAAUAUCUGUAUAGAAUUGGUAUAGGGAGGUGUAUAGUCCACUGAAGAUAUUAAUAUAUGUAUAGAAUUGGUAUAGGGAGGUGUAUAGUCCACUGAAGAUAUUAAUAUCUGUAUAGAAUUGGUAUAGGGAGGUGUAUAGUCCACUGAAGAUAUUAAUAUAUGUAUAGAAUUGGUAUAGGGAGGUGUAUAGUCCACUGAAUAUAUUAAUAUAUGUAUAGAAUUGGUAUAGGGAGGUGUAUAGUCCACUGAAGAUAUUAAUAUAUGUAUAGAAUUGGUAUAGGGAGGUGUAUAGUCCACUGAAUAUAUUAAUAUCUGUAUAGAAUUGGUAUAGGGAGGUGUAUAGUCCACAGAAGAUAUUAGCAGGCUUCCAUCUAAGACGUACAGUGUCUCGAUGAAGGAAAAUAUUUGUUUCCUGAGGUGAUGGUAUGAUGCUGUUUGGUUUUGUGAUGUUAUGUUCAAACAGAAUUAGAGCAGCAUCAAUGCAGAGAGUUAGCAAUAACUAUUUACCUUAUAAUGUUAAUAUACACAUGCAAUCACACAUAGUUGUAUAAUCAUAUAGAGAUGUGUGUGCGUUGUGUGUUGUAAUAACUUCUGAUAUGAGUUCGGCCCGUAGACACACCUGACCUUCAGCACACAUGACCAGGUGAUGAUGGGAGACUGGGCAGAAACCUACUAGUGCCAACACACAGACAUACACAUCGUCACACACACACAAACAUACACACCGAUACAACCAGAAAGACUCCCUACCUUUUCUGGCCUGACGUGGUAGCCCGCCCCCUUUCACACAUACACACACUGACAGUCCUGUCGGCUGCUGCUGUGAAAAGUUCAGAGCUGUCAGGGGGAAUGUCAGACGACUGCGUAGAGCUGUCUGCUGAACACACACACACACUCACGAAACCCAUUGUCUCUGUCAGACAUACAAACCCAUCAACCACAUUCACCUGUGUGUGUGUACAGAGGUAUCGCAGAACGUUGGUGUUUUUCCUAUUUCUUUUGUUCAGUUUCACUCUUCUUACAGGUUGACAUUUCCAAGUCGUUACUUCAUUCCUUUCACCCUGCAUUGUUUGGUGGUACAGGUGUAGUGUUGACAAAAAUUGUUAUCACUUGAAGGCCCCAGCGGGAUUUGAACUCGCGACCCCUGGUUUACGAGACCAGUGCUCUAACCACUGAGCUAUGGAGCCUUGCUUUUUACAGUUCAACCAGGAGGAGAAAAGGAUUUAAAUGAUACUCCCUUUCGAGAACAAAGAUAGCCACACGCCCAACCUGACAGGCAGGUUACCAGUCAGACUCCUAAAACAAAGGACUCUCCCUGAUCUCACUUAUACAGCUUACCUCAGUUUAGCAGUUACAGUUAAAUGAAUGAAUGAAACCCAAAUGAGACGGAUUGCAAAUGCCCUAUUUUACCUUGGUCUUUCCAGAAGGAUUGUGUGUGUAGCGAUUCACCAUUCAAGCUAGCAGCCUUGGCCAAUUUGUAUAUUUCAGACUUACAAUGUUGCUAUUUUCUUUCCAGAUGUUUCUGUGUAUAAUGACUGUAUGUGUGUGUGUAUAUGUAUGGAGAUUAUGUGUGUUUAUUGUC